rnacentral:lncRNA from 1 species
GGUGAAACGCACAAAGUGUACCGCAAUGUAAAUCAACAAACCCUGCUAAGGAUGACCAUGCAGAAGUGUGUUUGCUGUACCUGCACCGAUGCCAACAGGAAGUUCAGUGUGUUGUCAUAGGAAUCAGAGCCCUGAUUUCCACAACAGGAGACAUACUUUGGCAGAGAUUGUACUGAUGCACUUCUGAAGAGCAACAUUUGCUUAUACCGAGACGUUUGGUGAAGUUUUAUUGAAGUCUUUUAGAAUUAUAACACUUGAUUGAGACCGUACAAUGGGGUGCAGCUCAAGUACAGGUGUUCAAGUUGUGGAUCCAGCCAACAUGCCUGAGGACAGACCUGAUUCAGCAGACACAUCAGACAGAGAAGAUGAGGAAGAUGUUGAAGCCUCAAACACAGAGAAUAAUGAAGUUGAGGCUGAAGACAGCUGAUUAUACGUCUUUUGCUUUCCUGGCUACAUUCCUCAAGCUUCUAAGCUGUGAUGGAAUGAAGUUUCCUGGCGAGUGAGAUGAGCUUCAGACCAGCCUGUUACUUUACAUGAUGUCUCCAGUCUCUACAUAUUUGAUUUUUGUCUAUCACAACUACCUUUUUUCUGUGUGUAUAUAUAGUAUAGAUGUAGUAAGUAUCAAAUAUGCUUAAAUUUGUAAUCAUGAUAUCAAUAGCAACUGUAUUAUUAGCAGAUCAUAUUCUUUAAGAAUGUAAAUAAAUAUUUCUGUAUAACAUGCAAUAUUUGUUUGUUUUUUACACUACAGAUGCUUUGAAGGGACAGUUCACACACAAAUUUAAAUUGUGUCAUUAUUUACUCAUCAUUAACUUGUUCAAAACCCAUUCGAGAAAACAAAGAAAAUAUACUGAAUUGGAAAGCAGAAAUCAAUGACUUCCCUAGUCUUUUUUUAUUAUUAUUAUGGAUGUCAAUGGCUGCUUUUUACCCAACAUUCAACAUGUUUAACAAAAUAAAGAAAUCCAUAAAAAUUUGGAACCGAUUGAGUGGGAGUGAAUAGUGAGGAAGUUUUU